rnacentral:rRNA from 1 species
GUGGAUUAGAUACCCUGGUAGUCCACACCGUAAACGUUGGGCGCUAGGUGUGGGCCUAUUCCAUGGGUUCCGUGCCGCAGCUAACGCAUUAAGCGCCCCGCCUGGGGAGUACGGCCGCAAGGCUAAAACUCAAAGGAAUUGACGGGGGCCCGCACAAGCGGCGGAGCAUGCGGAUUAAUUCGAUGCAACGCGAAGAACCUUACCUGGGUUUGACAUACGCCGGAAACACCUAGAGAUAGGUGCCCUUUUUGUCGGUGUACAGGUGGUGCACGGCCGUCGCCAGCU